GACGAACGCUGGCGGCGUGCCUAAUACAUGCAAGUAGGACGCAGUUGCGAACGGGUGAGUAACGCGUAGGUAACUACCUAUUAGAGGGGGAUAACUAUUGGAAACGAUAGCUAAUACCGCAUACUAGUAGAUGGACCUGCGUUGUAUUAGCUAGUAGGUAGGGUAAGGGCGUACCUAGGCAACGAUACAUAGCCGACCUGGGAGGGUGAUCGGCCAAACUGGGACGGAUAGACGGCCCAGACUCCUACGGGGGGCAGCAGUAGGGAAGCUGCGGAAAUGGGGGGAAGCGUGACCGAGCAACGCCGCGUGAGUGAAGAAGGUUUGCGGAUCGUAAAGAUCUUUUGGUAAGGAAGCGGUACUUAACCAGAAAGGGACGGCUAACUACGGGCCAGCAGCCGCGGUAAUUC
rnacentral:rRNA from 1 species